rnacentral:rRNA from 1 species
ACGUGAUUUUUGUGGAAUUCUUUCGGGAAUGGAAAUGAAAUGAAAGUGGCGAACGGGUGAGUAACACGUGAGCAACCUACCUUACACAGGGGGAUAGCCGUUGGAAACGACGAUUAAUACCGCAUGAGACCACAGAAUCGCAUGAUACAGGGGUCAAAGAUUUAUCGGUGUAAGAAGGGCUCGCGUCUGAUUAGCUAGUUGGAAGGGUAAAGGCCUACCAAGGCGACGAUCAGUAGCCGGUCUGAGAGGAUGAACGGCCACAUUGGAACUGAGACACGGUCCAAACUCCUACGGGAGGCAGCAGUGGGGAAUAUUGCACAAUGGGGGGAACCCUGAUGCAGCGACGCCGCGUGAGCGAAGAAGGUUUUCGAAUCGUAAAGCUCUGUCCUAUGAGAAGAUAAUGACGGUAUCAUAGGAGGAAGCCCCGGCUAAAUACGUGCCAGCAGCCGCGGUAAUACGUAUGGGGCGAGCGUUGUCCGGAAUUAUUGGGCGUAAAGGGUACGUAGGCGGCCUUUUAAGUCAGGUGUGAAAGCGUGAGGCUUAACCUCAUUAAGCACUUGAAACUGGAAGGCUUGAGUGAAGGAGAGGAAAGUGGAAUUCCUAGUGUAGCGGUGAAAUGCGUAGAUAUUAGGAGGAAUACCGGUGGCGAAGGCGACUUUCUGGACUUUUACUGACGCU